rnacentral:tRNA from 1 species
GCCCAAGUAGCUCAGUUGGCAGAGCAAGGGACUGAAAAUCCCUGUGUCGAUGGUUCGAUUCCGUCCUUGGGCA